rnacentral:rRNA from 1 species
AACGAACGCUGGCGGCAGGCUUAACACAUGCAAGUCGAGCGCCCCGCAAGGGGAGCGGCAGACGGGUGAGUAACGCGUGGGAACGUACCUUUUGGUUCGUAACAACCCCGGGAAACUGGAGCUAAUACCGGAUAAGCCCUAACGGGGAAAGAUUUAUCGCCGAAAGAUCGGCCCGCGUCUGAUUAGCUAGUUGGUGAGGUAACGGCUCACCAAGGCGACGAUCAGUAGCUGGGCUGAGAGGAUGAUCCGCCACACUGGGACUGAGACACGGCCCAGACUCCUGCAGGAGGCGGCAGUGGGGAAUGUUGGACGAUGGGCGCAAGCCUGAUCCAGCCAUGCCGCGUGAGUGAUGAAGGCCUUAGGGUUGUAAAGCUCUUUUGUCCGGGAAGAUAAUGACUGUACCGGAAGAAUAAGCCCCGGCUAACUUCGUG